GCAAGAAAAGCGUGGGUAUCGAAACAGGAUUAGAUACCCUGGUAGUCCACGCGGUAAACGAUGAUAACUAGUUAUCCGGCGCGAUUGGGUGCUGGGUGACCGAGCGAAAGCGUUAAGUUAUCCACCUGGGGAGUACGCCGGCAACGGUGAAACUCAAAGGAAUUGACGGGGGCCCGCACAAGCGGAGGAACAUGUGGUUUAAUUCGAUGAUACGCGAGGAACCUUACCCGGGCUCAAACGCAUGGCGCUACACCCUGAAAGGGGUGGUUCUUCGGACGUCAUGCGAGGUGCUGCAUGGUUGUCGUCAGCUCGUGCCGUGAGGUGUCGGCUUAAGUGCCAUAACGAGCGCAACCCCCAUCUUCAGUUGCCAUCGGGUUAUGCCGGGCACUCUGGAGAGACUGCCGGCGCAAGCUGUGAGGAAGGCGGGGAUGACGUCAAAUCAGCACGGCCCUUACGUCCGGGGCGACACACGUGUUACAAUGGCGGGGUCACAGAGGGAAGCCAGGCGGCGACGCCGAGCGGAUCCCGAAAACCCGUCUCAGUUCGGAUCGGAGUCUGCAACCCGACUCCGUGAAGCUGGAUUCGCUAGUAAUCGCGCAU
rnacentral:rRNA from 1 species